AGAGGUCGUCGAGCGUUUAGGCGGAAUCACUGGGGCUUAAAGCGUGUGUAGGCGGAUUGCUAAGUACCUUGUGAAAUCCCACGGCUUAACCGUGGAACUGCUUGGUAUACUGGCUGUCUUGAGCCACUUAGGGGCAACCGGAACAAACGGUGGAGCGGUGAAAUGCGUAGAUAUCGUUGAGACGCCAAUGGUGAAAACAGGUUGCCUGGGAGUGUGCUGACGUGAGAACACGAAAGCCAGGGGAGCAAACGGG
rnacentral:rRNA from 1 species